UACGUAGGGGGCAAGCGUUAUCCGGAUUUACUGGGUGUAAAGGGAGCGUAGGCGGUGCAGCAAGUCAGAAGUGAAAGCCCGGGGCUCAACUCCGGGACUGCUCUUGAAACUGUUGAACUAGAUUGCAGGAGAGGUAAGUGGAAUUCCUAGUGUAGCGGUGAAAUGCGUAGAUAUUAGGAGGAACACCAGUGGCGAAGGCGGCUUACUGGACUGUAAAUGACGCUGAGGCUCGAAAGCGUGGGGAGCAAACAGG
rnacentral:rRNA from 1 species